GCCGGGAUGGCGGAAGUGGUAGACGCGGAGGUCUCAAAAACCUCUGGGAGCAAUCCCUUGCGGGUUCGAGUCCCGCUCCCGGUA
rnacentral:tRNA from 1 species